AACGAACGCUGGCGGCAGGCCUAACACAUGCAAGUCGAACGGGCGUAGCAAUACGUCAGUGGCGCACGGGUGAGUAACGCGUGGGUACCUGUCUGAUGGUAGGGGAUAACCGCGGGAAACUGCGGCUAAUACCCUAUGUGUCCUUCGGGACAAAGAUUUAUCGCCAUCAGGUGGGCCCGCGUAGGAUUAGCUAGUUGGUGAGGUAACGGCUCACCAAGGCGACGAUCCUUAGCUGGUCUGAGAGGACGAUCAGCCACACUGGGACUGAGACACGGCCCAGACUCCUACGGGAGGCAGCAGUGGGGAAUAUUGGACAAUGGGGGCAACCCUGAUCCAGCCAUGCCGCGUGAGUGAUGAAGGCCUUCGGGUUGUAAAGCUCUUUUGGCGGGGACGAUGAUGACGGUACCCGCAGAAUAAGCUCCGGCUAACUUCGUGCCAGCAGCAGCCGCCG
rnacentral:rRNA from 1 species